AGUAGCCUCCCCUUCCUGCACCGGCUCAGUGUGCACCGAAGAACCCAGUGGAAUGUUGACAGUUUCUUUUAGAUGUUGGGACAAACUGUAAUCAUGAAGCUUAGCGCCUGGAGUCUCGGUGCGCCCGGUGGUGGCUUGUAGGCACAAGUCCAGACUUUGUCUCUCUCCUUCCCCAGAUCUUUGCGGUCCAGCGGAACACGUGCAUNAGCGCCUGGAGUCUCGGUGCGCCCGGUGGCUUGUAGGCCCAAGUCCAGACUUUGUCUCUCUCCUUCCCCAUCUCUUUGCGGUCCAGCGGGACACGUGCACGGAAGCUCAGCUUCUGGGGCAGGCCCCUCUGAGCUGGAAGGCUGGAUGCAUCUCUCUGGUUUUUCUGUCUCUGGAGCCAUUGGGGAGCUCAGGGUUUGUCAUGUAUAGUGUCUGUCCCCAGGUUGGUACAGAGACGCUGCCUCCAGGGGAGAAGUUGUCUCUGUCUGGGUAGCAGAGACCCAUUUUGGGCACUUAACAAAAUGGAGAAAAGUGUUGAACAGACCAUUAUUAUUAUUAUUAUUAUUAUUAUUAUUAUUACUUUUUACAUAAAAGACUUUCCCCUGUGCCGUCAUGCAUUCUGGGACUCAGCAACCGAGAGCAGAAAAGUGAAAAAUGGACUGUCUUUUCCCUCCUAGACUCUCUGUUCACUCCAUCGCUGACAGUGAGUUAAAAAUACUUGGCUGGUGAGAAAGGUGAGAAAUGGAUGACUCAGUCCCUCCAAAUAAAGAAUCUGCCGCUGGAACGGAAGGCUGGUCAGAGCCAGCGCGCUGAGGAGUCGUUUUUAGGCCCUGUCCUGCGAGGCGACAUUCAAGACACAAUAAGCCGGACACUCGGCCAUGCCGGAAACGUUCAAGAACCGACGAACACCUGCCACCCAGAGAAGUGAAGCGCCCCGUGGAAUUCCUCUUACCUUUAGACGAGGUUAACGUGUUCUGUGGAAAAAGGAAAUACAAAAGAAAACAUGAGCCUUCACAUUGCAUGGAACGUUAGUUCCACGACAAUGUGGCCCACUUACGUCUACACAAGCUGUUGGCUGUUGAGUAAUUCGGUGAUGGAGAGGGCUUGGGGCAGAGCUGCCCAACAGAAAGAUAAUGGAACCGCAAACGUGGACCACAUGUGUAAUCUAAGUUGUCUGCUAACCACAUGCAAAUAAAAAGUAAAAAGUUGGGAUUAAUUUUAACA
rnacentral:lncRNA from 1 species